UGUUCAUGGUUCCAUAUUUCAUCUCUC
rnacentral:sRNA from 1 species